rnacentral:misc_RNA from 3 species
AACGCACCUUGCGCUCCUUGGUAUUCCGAGGAGCAUGCCUGUUUGAGUGUCAUUUGACUUAUCAAACCACCUCGUCUGCUUGGUGGCUUUGGAUGUUGGGGGUCUUUGCAGGCUUUGAACUAAAGGUCGGCUCCCCUGAAACGCAUUAGUGGCAUCUGAGCUGCUACUAUAGGUGUGAUAAAUUAUCUAUGCCUUUGGUAUGCCGCAUGAACAGAUUGCGCUGCUCACAACAAAACUUUGACAAACUUGACCUCAAAUCAGGUAGGACUACCCGCUGAACUUAA